CAAGUUGAAGUGACCCGCAUUCUUCACGGGUGCACUCAAUUACCUGACAGAAUCAGUUGUCACGUCAUUGCGUAAUUGCGGGGCAGUGCCGCCCACUGUUAUAUAUAUGGGCAGGUGACUGCGCCUCUGACGUGCGUCAUACCUUUCUCCCGGAUGCUGUGAUCAGUCAGAUCGUGGUUUGGCGUGGCCGUGACAGAUCGGUGAUCCAUACUCCCUAAUUGUGCGGUAGGUUACGCUUGUAGGAUUAUUGAAUGCAGUGAUGAAGUUAAGGCGAGUGGUAGUGGUGUCACGCUUCCCCUCUGUUGUUUGCAGAGUCUGCUGCAUUGUCUGUGCGGAGCUGACGUGUGCUCCCUCCACUGUGGGUGAACACAUCAGUGUCGGAAGUUGCUGUGGACGGCAAGUGAGCCGUGCGCUCCCUCUCUCUCUCGCUCUCCCUCUCCUCACGAGUUGGAAGCGCUGCGCUGCUAUCCUCUGGUAAUUGGGCCAGCGUGUGAAUCGCGGUGCCGCGGCCCUCUAGAAACCUCAGCCUCCAAGCCGUGGCCGACUGCUGUUUUGUCCCCCGCUCUUCUUUUAUUGUUUUAGUUCAUGUUGCCGCUACUACUACUACUACUACUACUACAACUAUCACCACUACUUCGUGACGAGUACAAUUUUGUGAUGGUUUAAAUUAUAGUUAUGAAUAUUGUUUCAGUUUGUUAGUUGCUUUAUUUUUGUUUGGUUGUUUGUGUGUUUG